rnacentral:rRNA from 1 species
CAGCUUCUGGACGUUGCGUUGGAAAGCUUCAUGAACCUUAUCACUUAGAGGAAGGAGAAGUCGUAACAAGGUUUCCCUAGGUGAACCUGCGGAAGGAUCAUUCGCAC